UGAUGAUUCGGGAGCCUCAAGUGACAUG
rnacentral:sRNA from 1 species